UUGAGCUUUUGGUUAUGACUUCAAUUGUUGCGGUAAAGGAUGGAGUCUCCUAUGUCUGUUGGAGGAAAGCUUUCUGUUCAACCAAUAGAAGAAUAGUGGUAGCGUAGUGGAGGUUAGGAAGUUGAUUUGGUUGUCUCUGUUGGAUUUGCAGGUGAUGAAAGGACUGAACAAGUGUUCUAUGAAGAAUUUUGGAGAAGAAGAUAAUAGGGAUAAUGGAAUGGGCAUGGAGAAUUGGAGCAACUGGUUUUCAGAUUCCUGCCUUUUUUGUUGUUUCCCCUUUUCUGUUAUCGGUUAAAGGGGCGAUAGGGGCCUCUGUUUUUGUGCUUUGAUUUUCUGUUUCUGUGAUUCAAAACUGGUGAGAAUGGGUCAUGAGGAUUGGAGUUCCAAGAGAGAUUUCUCGAAGACGAGAAUGAGAAAAGCUGGAAAACGUGGUUGGUUGGGUCGAACAGAAUGGUGGUUCCCCUCUUCCCUUUUUUUUUCAUUUUUCUCCCAUAUUCCUAGGUGUAGGUAGUGGUGUGGAUGGUUAACGCCAUGGGUGAGUGUGGAUGGUGAAGGUGAUCUUUGUUGCGUGAAAAAAAAAUGGAGUAAUUGGUUAUUAAAAAAGGAAAGGUAGUUGGAGAGGAUCCUCGUCAAUGGUGUGUGCGUGUUGUAUCUAUUAUAGGUGAUGAGGUGUGGGUGAUGAAAACGGAAGAAGAAGAUGAGGUUCUGAUUGUGUGGAUAGAGAUGGAGGAGUAUAUGGUUGUAUCUGAUGAUUAAAGAGAUGAAUUUCUGAAGAGAGGUGGUUACGGGGUUGGGCAGAGGAGAGGAAUUCAGAAUCAAGUUUCUGUAAAAAAUGGAAGAGGUCCUGAGUGAGUAUGUGAUGGCACUGUUUUCGGUUAUGGGUAAGGAAAAAUAGGUUCUGUAUUGUGUUCUAAGGCGUUGUGUGUGUAUGAUGAUGAUUCUGAUUUUUUGGUUCUUUGGAGGUCAUGAUGAGAUAAUGGUCAGGUGUUGUGUGUGUUUGAUGAGAGAAUUGCUGAGAGGUUUCUGUUGAGUGAAUCAGUGAUUAGAGGAGCUGUGUGUGUUAUGAUGGAGAAAAAGGAGUGUAUUUGGUGAGUCUGUUGGGUGGUUAUGUGUUAGGGAAGAGAGGAGUGGAGUCGUGUGCGGUAAUUCUGUUGUGAGUGAUAUCGUGAGAAGGACUGUCUGAGUGAAUCUUGUGAGAAACCCGUGUACACCUUCCAGCCAAUAAAAAAAACCAACUUCCCAAAUUCAUCCCUGGAUACCACUGAAACCAAAUGAAAAAAUGUGCUCCCUGCUAUUCAAUUCCUAAUCUGUACCAUUUUUGCUCUGCAUCCACUACGCACACCCCUUUUUUCUUUCACGUUUUUUCUUCUUCUUUUUUUUUCUUUCUUUUUUUUCUUUUUUUCUUUUUUUUUCGUUUUCUUUUCUUUAUUUUCUUUUUUUGUUCUUUCUUUUUUUCUUUUACUUUUUUUUUUC
rnacentral:lncRNA from 1 species